CGGGCCUUGCGCUAUCAGAUGAGCCUAGGUCGGAUUAGCUAGUUGGUGAGGUAAUGGCUCACCAAGGCGACGAUCCGUAACUGGUCUGAGAGGAUGAUCAGUCACACUGGAACUGAGACACGGUCCAGACUCCUACGGGAGGCAGCAGUGGGGAAUAUUGGACAAUGGGCGAAAGCCUGAUCCAGCCAUGCCGCGUGUGUGAAGAAGGUGUUCGGAUUGUAAAGCAAUGUAAGUGGGAGGAAGGGCAGUUACCUA
rnacentral:rRNA from 1 species